GAUGAGAAGUGCACGCAGUCCAUGUAUAUACGUGAGAAUGGAAAAGUGGACAACAAUGUGCAGAUGGAAAUGGAAUCGGAAUUCAUUCGGACGUGACAGCAGAAGCGAGCAGUAUCACAAAAAACGUAAUAAUGCGUCCCUAAGAUAGAUGCCAAGGUGUGAACGAAACGAGGACGUGAAAUUCCACAAGUGGGCCGGGAUAGAGAGGAGCAGAGAUUCCGGAUCGAAGGUGAUGGUGGUGGGUCAUGGCGGUACAAGAAGACACUUCAAGUCCCUGGUCUGAGACGUCGAUAGGCACGCAAUGCAGCAGCAGCUUUCAUCUUUCCUCUGUGCGUGGUGAGACCGGAUCAGUGGUGGACUUCAUGCAGAUGGACACAUUCCGUGUCCGGGUUGGGGACCGAUCGAGGCCAAUUGGGAUCACACAAAUCAAUUUUCUGUUGCGCUAGAAUUCAGUUGGGGCACAUUGUUUAGUUUGCGUUGUAGAGUUUGCAUGGAACUUGUGCCGUGGUCCUUGUCCUUGGAAUAUAUCCCUACUCUCCAAGCAUGGCACAACCUCACAUUCCAUAGUAUGGCAAAACUUUUUUGACGGGUGACAAUGAGUAACGACAAAUCAUCAUUUUGUCGGACCCAUAUCCGCCGCCGAGGCAAAAGUUGAGGAACCAGACAAAUCCAGGCCGCGACCGGUGAAUCAUGACCCUAUAAGCACUCCAAUGCAGAAACCAACAUAAUUUUUUAGAUGUAAUUAUAGUGUCAUAUAAAUAUUUUGCGUAAAAUAUUUAUUAAAAAAAAAGCAAAAGUCAUAAAACCAGGUCUAAAUUAGAAACCAUAUCUACACGACAUACAAGAUAUGAGGUGAUAUAAUUGUUUGAGAAUAGAAAAAAAUAAAUUUGAUUGGAUAAAAAAAUAUUUUGUAGAAACUAUCCACUGAGAUCAUGAUUUCUAUAUAUAAUGUUUAUAGAAAUUAAUAGGUAUAGAAAGUAGCAUUUGGACUGCCUUAAGAUCUUGUUUAGCCAAUGAGAUGAAAACUUUUUGAAUAAUGUAGCACUUUUGUUUUUAUUUAGUAAUUAUUAUCCAAUCAUGGACUAAGUUCAAAAUAUUUACAGACAAAUUGUGCAAAUAGAUAUUUUUUAUUUAUAUUUAAUAUUAUAUACAUGUGUCGCAAGAUUCAAUAUGACAAGAAAUCUUAAAAAGUUUUUAGGUUUUAGGAUGAACUAAACAAGGCCUAAUUGAUGCAGAUCGGAGGCGAGGCGCGGCCACGGCAGCCAUUAGGGCAGUCCCAAUGGUAAUUAAUGAGCAGUUUCUAUCUCUAUUAAUUAAAUUGCCAACUUACUGUUUUGCUGAUGUGGCAGUAGAAUUAAUGAAGAGAGAAUAUAAACUGAAGAAAUCGUUUCUACCCUGAGAAACCAGGUCUAUGCUCGCAACGAGGCCGAUGGAAACGCCAAAAAUACCACUGGGGAGAAAUCAUCGGUUUCUAUCGGCAUUGAUGGGAUCGAGUGCGCCUGCGGUGGCAGGCCGCUUCUCCUGCGAGCGCGUGGCUUCUCCCGCACCCGCACCUUCGUUUAUCCUGUGUGCGCUCCACUCCCUUUUCCCUUUCACGUGAUGGCUUCAGUACAGAGGAGACCUGGCAUCUGGAGACCUGCGGCUUGGCUUCAGUUCACGUGAUUUGUAUUGCAUGCAACAGUUCUGGAAAGUGUGUUUGCGGGUUGAUUCAGUACGAUGAUUCAUCUGGAACAUUAUAUAUGUGUUUGCCAUCGUGUUGAUUUGCUGGUUGGCAGCUAUUGGAAAUCGAUGACAAUUUUUUAUGGUUCUUUGCAAUUGUAUGUUGUCGACAUAUGUUAGUUGUAAAAAUAGUUGCCACAGUUGAUCUAUCUGUUUUUGGUACUGCAUUUAAGUUAUCAUUUAUGUUAAUGAAGUUGUAGAAAUCAUGGAUUGGAAAGGAGCAGUUUCCUGAUGCGGCAUCCUAUGUCAUAGAAACUACAUAGUUUCUUCCAUUGGGACUGCCCUUAGCACUCGAGUCAGACCCCAUCCAUCAUUUGCAUUAAAUACAGAUAAAAAAACUAUAGUACAGUUUGUAUAGAAAUAAGACUAAUCUUUUAAAUCUAAUUAGUCUAUAAAUAGCUAUAAUUACUACAGUAACAUAUAUGCUAAUAAAAUAUUAAUUAGGCUUAAUAAAUUCGUCUCGUGGUUUUAAGACGAGUUAUGUAAUUAUUUUUUAAUUAGUAUCUCCUUUCAUAGAAUAUCUGAUGUGACAGUUAAAAAUUUUUCUAACUAAACAAGACCUCAAUCUUUCCUUUUCCGUUUUUCUGCUGACGGCUGACCUUUGGACCCGCUCGAGGAAAAACGAGGAGGAAAGAGCCAGUAGGUUCUCUACUCUGUACGCUACCCCGGGAAACGAAAGGGAUCCCAUCUUAUCACCCAACUUCCAAACACAUGUCCAGUAGCACAAGUGGUAGCACAGAUGGACUCGACCACUCCUGGGUCCAAUAGUGGCACUCAUCCUUGAUCAGCUUGGCAUUAUGUCCGCAUCUAGAAAUAUACCUCCUGCUCUAGUAUUUCUAGAGCGUGCGGCUAAAGAGGAGAAUUACGAGAGGGGGGCAAGCGCAUUGGAUUCGUGGAGCUGCCUGCUGAGCCUGAUAUACAGGUGCCAUAUGCCUCCAUCCCAAAUUGUAAGGUAUUUCAAGAAUCUUGGAGAGUUAAAUAUUUUUAAGUUUGACCAUAACAUUAUAAAAUAAUAAUUAUUAUGGUACUAACUAAGUAUCAUUAGAUUUUUUCUUAAUUAUAUUUUUAUAUACUCACUUUACGUUACAAAUCUUAAUAUUUUUCUCUAUAAUCUUGGUCAAACGUGGAAAUGCUUUGACUCUUCAAAAUUCUCGGAAUGACUUACAAUUUGGGAUGGAGGGAGUAUCUUUUUGCUACAAUAAUAUACCUUCCAAUUGUGCUGUAACUGUAACUAACGAUCGGUCGGUUUCCUCCUAUAAAAUUAAACAACAUUUACGUUGUGCGUCCUACUACUAUACUAGCGAGAAGAAGGGGUGGACAGGGAAGUAUGGGUGCAAUAAUACAUGUGCACGGCGGAUGCACCACGUAAAGCAGGUACUGUAUAGUUGGGAUCGGGAGAAGUUAAUGGUUAUUAUAGGCUUUAGCUACGAAUACACAUACUACUGACGUACAUUAAUUAGGUCACGUGCACGUACUACAGCUGGCCUUGUUUAGUUCCGAAAAGUGAAAACUUUUCGGAACUGUAGCACUUUCGUUUGUUUGUGACAAAUAUUAUCCAAUCAUGUACUAACUAGGAUCAAAAGAUUUGUCUCGUGAUUUCCAGCUAAACUGUGUAAUUAGUUUUUGUUUUCGUCUAUAUUUAAUAUUUCAUGCAUGUGCCACAAGAUUCGAUGUGACUGGGAAUUUUGAAAACUUUUUGGUUUUCAGGGUGAACUAAACAAGGCCGUAGCUGUUGCGCCGAGAAUAGCAGGGCCGGGAGUACGCAUGACAUGAGGACGAGCUAAAUCAAAUCAAAUAACGGAGCUUGUCGGCAGAUUAUUGGAGCGAGCUUGUUGGAUGGGAAUUAAUUGAAACGAGGGAGAGGGAGCUACAGGGUGCGUGCGUGCGUACCAUGAGGCCGAAGCUGAAGCCGACGACGACGGUGUUGGCGAUGGAGAUGGCGGCGAGCUCGAGGUCGC
rnacentral:lncRNA from 1 species